AAGGCACACUAGAACUCAGAGCUAGGCAGUCGACCAUGAGAGGCGGACUUGCAGGUCCGGAUGAUCCAAUGAGAACCACGGGCUGGGUAGCCACAAUUUCCACGCAAAGCUGGACUAUUACUAUGUACAAUAGAUGCGCCUGAUAGCCCUAGGUCGGUUGCCUGGAAGCCUGGAAGCCCCGUCCAUCCACAUUUAGGGUUAGGAAGGUCACAGUGUCGCGUUCUCAUUGGCUGCCGAGUUGAACGGUAUCGGUACGGGUAUGACGGGCCACUCUACCCGGAUCCACAGUUCAAUACAAUCAACUAACGGGGCACAGCUUGACGCUUUUGAAUAGCUACUCGUGACUAGAAUUGAGAUAUUUACAAUAUUGAGGUAUUUUGAAAUAACGCAACCAGCUCUUGCGAGAAUCGUCCUUUAGUGUAUAUGUAGCAUCGACAUGCGAUGUACUACCUCAAUCCCGGCUCAUGUAUGAUGCGGCUACAACUAGGUAUGUACCUAGUACUAAUGUCAACAAUACGUUGUAAUACUUACCAUGGUAAUUCAACACCAAAACAAGCACACCAAUAAGAAACCGAUGAUAUCAAUUACGAUUGCGCCUAGUGAUGCAAGAAAGAAUGCAAAGCAAAAAAGAAAAGAGGCAUGUGCAUCAGACAAACUGAAAGGCACGUCUGAUCAAUUAAUUCAUUUCGGAGGUCUCCGCGGGCAUAUACGGUACCUAAUCGAACUAUAACUGCGGAUGUAUAACAUUAGCUACCUAAGUUGAAUUGAGCCAAAUUAUCAAGCAUCCAAUCAAAAAUGAGCAUAUAAACCAACAAGCUGUUCAGGUUUAAUUAAACUGUCUUUCUCAUUAACACUAGGCUAGCCCUACUUUGUAACCGGGGUGGAGAGGGAGGAGCAGACCCUGAGGCGCAGCGGUAUGAACCCUUUCAGUAGAUUUGCCCGAGUAUCAGAAGAUAAAACAAAAGUGAGAAAAAGAAAAAAAAAAAAAAGACGCACCGAUGUCAAACAUAGCAGUCUAUUAUCUCUCCGAACCUUAGUUUGACGUUUAUAUAGUUCCGGGCGUUCUUCGUGGGACCCGAAAAAGUGAAGCAACGGGCAAAAAGAUGCUGGGCCCGGUGCUGAAGGGGAAUUAACUCAAACCGCUCAGCCACGGAUUGUUUAAUUGCGAUCAUUUGAUUCUCGAGGCCUUUCAUCUCAUGGACUCUGAUAAGUUCAUCUUUAUUGUUCAAUUAAAGGCGGGGAUAAGAUGAACCUAACGGGGACAGGGAAAGUAGGGCAACUGCUCCGCUGGAAAUCGCCCAAAUAAGGAAAGGUUGAGUGAGUGCCUUGUUUUUAUUGCCUAUUACGGAAACAUAUCAUCCAUCGCAAACAUCUCAGGACUCAUCUUUUCAAGAGUUCGUAGUAAGUGAUACCGGUUCGCCCGGGUUAAUAUUCGUCUGUCAUUCUUUUAUCUGUCUGAUCUAUUGUCUCCUCAACCCGGAUCGUCGUCGUAUACCGUUAACAGUAUUACGAUUCCAGCUAGAGAUCGUUAUGCAGGGCAACAACCAGCUCCGCGCCGAUGCCGAGGGCUGUGAAGAGCGAUAUAUUGCGAACCCAUCGGGACAGGCAUCCUGAUUCGUCCGCGGAUGCGGUUCGCGGCUUUGGCAUCACUGCAGGGUGUUUUAGUGCCAUGCAACUAGGCAGGGUCCCCGUUCGGGGGAGUUGGGGCCAGUAAGAGACAAUAACUUUGUUUUAGAGAGAAUCAUCUAAUUUCCUGAAUAUUCAUAACCGACCGGAUAUGGAGAUUGUGCAAUGAGACAUUUGCUGCUUUCUGAAAUUGACCCGGGCCAGGUGCCCUGCGGUAUUAAUUGAUGGGGUACUCGGACUUAGGGCU
rnacentral:lncRNA from 1 species